AUUUUUAGGGGGAAAUGAAUAUAUUGGGGCCUUUAGAUAUAUCUGUUCCUCUCACACACAGAUUCCAAACCUCACCCUACAUGACCUCACCUCCCCCUUUCUCUUUUCUCACGCCUCACGCCUCUGUGUCUCUUCUCUCUCACGCCUCACGCCUCACGCCUCACGCCUCACGCCUCACGCUGCCCUCCUCUCUGUUACUAGAGCAUCACCGCAAGGGUUAGAUGAGCACAACGCAAGGGUUAGGUGAGCACACCGUAAGGGUUAGCACCACCGUCGCUUUGUCUCGGGUAGGGGAAUUUGGGGCUUUAUUGGCAUCAAACUGGAAAGGGUAUGACCCUCUCCUAAUUUCUUUUUCUCAUGUUUUUUCUAUUACUUAAGGGGAUCGAAAAGGCAUUGGUAGCAUUAUAUAAUGGGUUUUAUUGGACUAGGAUAUGAUUUUGAAUAUUGGUAUAUUAAUUUGGGAUUUGAUUCCACAGUUUCUUUCUCUUCUGAUCUUUUGGUGCUACAUCAAGUUUUUUUUUGACCUUUGAUAAUGAUCCUUUUGAUAUGUUUCCUCAUUCUCACACAUAUUGGACUCCUCAAUCACCACCGCCGUCUACGGCGCCGAUUCUUUCCCUUCUUCUUUUAGCAAGUUCAAUUCGGCUCUCACUGCUAGACUAUUGAAUCCCAUGUCUUCACCACUACCUCCCUCCGACAAGGCCCGAUCGAGCCCGACCCUUUUCGAAAUGAUGGCGAGCGAGCCCGAUUCCAUUCCCAGAUCCCAACAGCGAUUGUCGGAGAUUUUGGGUUCUCGGAGUCCGGGAAGUCAGUUCAAUGACCCCAAUUCGAGCGAGCGAUGUCACCAGAGUACUUGGAUUGAAGGUUUCAGCUGCAAUUGGGUUUGAUGCUGGGGUUUUGUCAUGUUUGGAGUAUGUAGAGGAUGCUCCAUGGGCUGAAGAUGAAGAAGAGAAGGUGGCUUCAGUAUGUAGCUAAUGAGUAUGUAGCUAAUGAGAGCUUGGACAAGCUUCUCUUCAGUUUUGAGGUAUGUAGAAGGUUUAUGCUGGGUUUGCUGGUUCUACUACCAUGGUGUCUACUCAUGGCAAUGGUCAGUUUUUGAUUUAGUAGUAGUACGUAUGUCAAUAAUGAGUUUUUGUAAAGACAUUAUGGCCAAAGAAGCGGUUGUACACCCAUAUUAUGCAAUAUGCAUUGCGUGGAUUGGAUGAGAAAACAGAGGAUUUUGGCUCUGUGUCUAAAUGGAAGUCAAGCAAAGCAUCCUACAAAUGUGCACUUUUAUAGGAUCUUAUUUUCAAGAUAACAUUGGACCAGGUAAAUAUGAGCAAAUGCUUAAUCUCCAUCCCACCACACAGAUGAUAUAUACACAUGUUUAAUUAAGGAGGCUUAUGCCUAUUUAUCAACAAAAAAAAUCAAAAAAUUAAGGAUGCUUAUGCUUGGUACUGUUUUAUGUUGUGUAGAUUGCUGCCUUUCAGUGUACUUGCAUUUAAACUAAAUGUCCUGUUUUUGCUUCAAGUUUUAUCCAUAUCAUUAUGCUAAAUGUCCUUUCGACUAGCUAAUGGGAACCUUGCCUGCUGCAAGGUCUGUAUUACUUUCUCACUCUGUCUCUCUCUCUCUCUGCUGCUGCAUUCAGUACUGUAUGAGCUUAUCAAUUUCAUGUUACAGUUCUAGUGCUCUGCCUGAAGAGUACAGGAGAUUGAUGACUGAUCCAGCAUCACCGAUCCAAGAAUUCUACCCUUUUGGUUGUAUUACUUGAGUUUCAUAGUUUUCUAUUAUUUCUUUUUUAACCUUUUUUUUUUUUCCGACACAUGAAUUUAUAGCACACUAUCUAAAUUGUUAGUUAACUUAUAUUUAUUAUAUAAAUACCAGCCACAAACACUCAAUGUGUUAGUUGGAAGCUUGUCAUUGUGAUGCUCUAAAUUAUCAGAGCCUCAAAUUAUUUUGGCAUCAUCUGACAAAUGUUGGCGUAUGAUAUAGGGCUUACUUUAGACCUAUGUUGCUGUUAGAUAGUUUAGGGUGGUGGUUUUAGCUAUAUAUUUAUAUGUGUGGUGUUUAGUGGGUUUGACAGUUUGAGAGGCACUUAGUGGGUUUGACAGUUUUUGGACAUAAAUAUAUUCUUUUAGUUGUAUUAGUCUGAGUCUUAUUGGUUAUGAGUCAAAUUGGAAGAAACAACUUGUAUUGAUUAGCAAUCAUGUUUGUUAGUAAUAGAUUUAUGUCUGAUAGUUGUCCAUCUUCUUUGUAUGACAAAUUUUGAAACCCGGUCUAUGGCAUGUUCCACCUCGUCCGAUCUGUAUUUAUAGUGCAAGACGUUUGACCUGUGUUUAUAGUAUAAGAAGUUCAUUUACUUAUUCUUCCUUUAUGCAAGGAAAGGAGCCCAAUGUUAUUGUCUUAUUAACACUUCCUAAUCUAUUAGAAGACAGAACUACUUGACCUAACAAAUCACAUUCUUCCCAUGUGCGCCGCACCGCAACCCCUUCUUUAGGUACCCUUUUGUUGGGGUGUAUUGCAAAUCUCACUUUAUAAAUUGUUAUGACUCCUCUCUUUGUGUGUUUUUGUUGUGUAUUGAAUGUGUUUGAUAUGUGGAUUGUGUGGACAAACUCAAAAAUGGGUAGUGAUGAUAAACUCUAAAUUUGGAUCAUUGGUUUUGGUGAUUGUUUGAUUGAUGUACUUUUAGAUCCAAUUCAACACUAGUUGAAGACUCCUGAACUAAUAGAAUGAACUGGGUCAAUUCUACGUGACAUGUAUCAAUAAAGUUGAAUUCUUUAACCAUCUUUUGUGCCUUUAAAUUGUUUCCAAUGUCUGUUUUGGAUUUGGCUUUGGCUAAUUGGAUGGUUUGGAGUAUUUGGUGGUUCAACAAAUGCCAAGGUACUUGUAGCUUCACUUACUGCAUUAGAAUCCAUUUAUUUCCUUUUAUUUUUCAUGUUGCUUUCUCUUACUUUUGAACAAUUAACUUCAGACUAAUUGUUACAAAUGUUGUACUGAGCCCAGAUGUUUUGCUAAAUAGUCAUAUUUCAACACUCAAAAUAUAUUGUAAGGAUGCCCAAUAACUAACUAAUUAUGGUACAAAAGCUUUUCCUUGUUCAAUAGGAUCUGAUAAACCAUACAAACCAGAGCCUCAAGGUGUUGAUUUAUCUUGAUGAGCUUGAGCCGAUGUUGAGAAGCUUGCUUUGGUUAUUGACUAACAUUGAACUUGAGAGAGGUUGAUGUACAAGCGCCCAACUGCAUUGCAAGAUAGGACAAGGGAUAGUGAUGAGGAUGAUCUUAAAAUCUCUUCAAAUUUGAGGAAAAAUAUGACUGUUAGAAAUUUGGUGAAACAUUUGGUUCAUAUUUGAUUUAGUAAAA